rnacentral:lncRNA from 1 species
UAGAUUUGUCAUGGAAAGAAACUAGAUAGUCCUACCCAACAUUUUUAAAGUUGUCAAAUAGUUUUGGAAAACCAUGAAAGGUAAUGACAUUGCCAGGACAAAGAUUAUGUCGCAUGGAUCUAUAUUUAGACUGAGCAGAUAUAGUAGUAAGAUGAGGGACAACAUUUGAAAAUUGAAGUUCAGAAUGAAGAGGUAAAGAUUUCCUUUUGGAAGAAAACAAGUUAGUCAUGAU